rnacentral:rRNA from 1 species
AUACAGGACCAAUGGUGCUGUGUUUGGAAUGAGUAUAAUUUAAAAACCUUAACGAGGAACCAUUGGAGGGCAAGUCUGGUGCCAGCAGCCGCGGUAAUUCCAGCUCCAAUAGUGUAUACUAAAGUUGCUGCAGUUAAAAAGCUCGUAGUUGGAUUUCGGUUAAUGAAAAGUUAGUCCACUUAAUAUAUAAGUGCGUACUGACGUUUUAUUUCCUUCUUUUCAGAUAUACAACUUGUUGUGUUCUGAAUCUUUUACUUUGAGAAAAUUAGAGUGUUCAAAGCAGGCGUAACCAAGCCUUUGAAUAUAUUAGCAUGGGAUAAUGGAAUAAGACUUUUUGCCUUAUUUUCGUUGGUUCUUGAGGCUAAAGUAAUGAUUAAUAGGGAUAGUUGGGGUCAUUAGUAUUUAAUUGUCAGAGGUGAAAUUCUAAGAUUUAUUAAAGACUAACUACUGCGAAAGCAUUUGACAAGGAUGUUUUCAUUAAUCAAGAACGAAAGUUGGGGGAUCGAAGAUGAUCAGAUACCGUCGUAGUCUCAACCAUAAACUAUGCCGACCAAGGAUUCGGGGGUGUUAUAUGAAUGACCCUCCGGGCACUUAUAGAGAAAUCAUAAGUAUUUGGGUUCCGGGGGGAGUAUGGUCGCAAGGCUGAAACUUAAAGGAAUUGACGGAAGGGCACCACCAGGAGUGGAAUAUGCGGUUUAAUUUGACCCAACACGGGAAAACUUACCAGGUCCAGACACAGUGAGGAUUGACAGAUUGAGAGCUCUUUCUUGAUUUUGUGGGUGGUGGUGCAUGGCCGUUUCUAGUUGGUGGAGUGAUUUGUCUGGUUAAUUCCGUUAACGAACGAGACCUUAACCUAUUAAAUAGUUACACAUACUUGGGAUUCGUCCUAAUAGUAUGUGGUUAACUUCUUAGAGGGACUCUUCACGUAAAGAGUGAAUGGAAGUUUGAGGCAAAAACAGGUCUGUGAUGCCCUUAGAUGUUCUGGGCUACACGCGUGUUACACUGAUAUAUUCAACAAGCAUUAUAAUUCCUUACCCGAUGGGGUUGGGUAAUCUUUUAAAUGUAUAUCGUGAUGGGGAUAGACCAUUGUAAUUAUUGGUCUUGAACGAGGAAUUCCUAGUAAGUGCAGGUCAUUAGCUUGCGCUGAUUACGUCCCUGCCCUUUGUACACACCGCCCGUCGCUCCUACCGAUGAAUGGUCCGGUGAGGACUCAGGAUGACCGUGGAUUUUGGUAUAAUAUACCAUGCCAUUGUUUGUCAGAAUCUGUUCAAACCUUAUCAUUUAAAGGAAGGAGAAGUCGUAACAAGGUUUCCGUAGGUGAACCUGCGGAAG